rnacentral:rRNA from 1 species
GAUGAACGCUAGCUACAGGCUUAACACAUGCAAGUCGAGGGCAGCAUUAGGUAGCAAUACUGAGAUGGCGACCGGCGCACGGGUGCGUAACGCGUAUCCAACCUUCCCGUUACUCAUGGAUAGCCUUCCGAAAGGGAGAUUAAUACAUGAUGGUGUUGAAAUUCCGCAUGUUAUUUCAACUAAAGAUUUAUCGGUAACGGAUGGGGAUGCGUUCCAUUAGCUUGUUGGCGGGUAACGGCCCACCAAGGCUUCGAUGGAUAGGGGUUCUGAGAGGAAGGUCCCCCACACUGGAACUGAGACACGGUCCAGACUCCUACGGGAGGCAGCAGUGAGGAAUAUUGGUCAAUGGUCGGAAGACUGAACCAGCCAAGUAGCGUGAAGGAUGAAGGUUCUAUGGAUUGUAAACUUCUUUUGUAUGGGAAUAAAGCCCGCUACGUGUAGCGGUUUGUAUGUACCAUACGAAUAAGCAUCGGCUAACUCCGUG